rnacentral:rRNA from 1 species
AGAGUUUGAUCAUGGCUCAGAACGAACGCUGGCGGCAGGCUUAACACAUGCAAGUCGAACGCACCGCAAGGUGAGUGGCAGACGGGUGAGUAACGCGUGGGAACCUUCCCUGUGGUACGGAAUAACUUCGGGAAACCGAAGCUAAUACCGUAUAUCUCCUCCGGGAGAAAGAUUUAUCGCCAUAGGAUGGGCCCGCGUUGGAUUAGCUAGUUGGUGGGGUAAAAGCCUACCAAGGCAACGAUCCAUAGCUGGUCUGAGAGGAUGAUCAGCCACACUGGGACUGAGACACGGCCCAGACUCCUACGGGAGGCAGCAGUGGGGAAUAUUGGACAAUGGGCGCAAGCCUGAUCCAGCCAUGCCGCGUGAGUGAAGAAGGCCUUAGGGUUGUAAAGCUCUUUCGCCAGGGACGAUAAUGACGGUACCUGGAUAAGAAGCCCCGGCUAACUUCGUGCCAGCAGCCGCGGUAAUACGAAGGGGGCUAGCGUUGUUCGGAAUCACUGGGCGUAAAGCGCACGCAGGCGGAUUGAUAAGUCAGGGGUGAAAUCCCGGGGCUCAACCUCGGAAUUGCCUUUGAUACUGUCUAUCUUGAGUUCGGGAGAGGUUGGCGGAAUUCCUAGUGUAGAGGUGAAAUUCGUAGAUAUUAGGAAGAACACCAGUGGCGAAGGCGGCCNCUGGCCCGAUACUGACGCUCAUGUGCGAAAGCGUGGGGAGCAAACAGGAUUAGAUACCCUAGUAGUCC